CUUACAAUAGGAUAAGGUAUAUUAUAUGCCUGUAAGUAGUUUAUGUAGCUUCAGAUACCAUAGGUAAAGGCACCUAUUACCGUGGUAGUUAAGGAACUUUUCAAAAGAGAUCCAAAAAUUAAGGGUAUCAAUGCUGUCUAGCAGCCAGGAAUAUUUUUUUUUCAUCAGAGCAUUUAAUGGACUUUCCGUUUCACACGUUUUUGGAUUCAUUUUGGGUUAUUAUAUGUAUUAAAAUAUUUUUUGAAGCCAAAAUGACCAAAUCUUCUAUUACCGUGGCAAGGGACAGGCUGUGAUUCUAUUACCGCGAAUUGAGCUUUCAUUACCGAGGGUACAAUUGGCAUGAUUUUUCUACACUCGUUAAUAGAAACCAAACUCAAAAUUCGAAACCUAAUACCGAGGGUUAAAACGAUAAUAACGACGUGGGUUCUGUAUAUUAUUUUUGUGUCAUUAAGUUUAAUAAUGACACAAAAAUAAAAAAUAAAACUAUAGGAGUAUGUUUAAAAAUAGCAAAAAUACAAUACCAAAUAGUCACUCGGUAAUAGUUAACUCUUUAAGAGCCUAUUACCGACCCAUUCGAUGUUUCUAUGGGUCGGUAAUAGAUUUCUAUACAUUCUAUCACCGAGGGUAAUCUGAUCAUACCAUCGGUAAUAGGCUUAAUUUGAAGUUUGAUUAAACCUAAUUCCGACCCAUAAAAAGAAUAAAACACAGAUGGUUUUUCAAAUCAAAUCAAACACGUAUAUUACAAGCUUCUUAUAAAGACAAAAUCACAUAACCGGCAAGUAAAUUUUAGGUUUUAUCUCAAAAUAAAAAAAAGUUGACAGAUUAAGGGUUCCCAUAGAAACAAGGAAAUCGGUGCUGAAGUUUUUGUUAAAAAUUAAGGGUUAGUUGAAUACUUUCCAUACCACGGAAAUAGCUCUUUAAUAGCGUGAAUAGAUCAAGAUUGGAAUAAAUAAAAGAAAUUAUAAAACUGAUAAUUUGUACCAAAACUAAAGAGUAAAUAACAAAACUACCACUUUUUCUAUUACCGUGGCAUACCACGGAAUUACUUACCACAGAAGUAAUUGGCGCCUAUCACCGCUGUAUUUUAUUUUCCAUUUUAAACGUAUUUCCCGGUCAAAAACUAAGUUAAAAGUAAUUCAAAAUCGUGUAGAAAACAAUACACAACCUCUUAAAAGGCAUUGCACUAGUUUAUUUGCCAUAACUAUUACGUAAAACACUAAGUAAGAUUGAAGUGCACUUACCUGUGGCGUCACGCGUUUGUAUGGAAUAACCGGUUCUUGCGCCGCCGUCGCACAAACUGACGAAUCGCGACUUUUUUGUUACAAUCACACAAAUGCACACUAAUGGGCACGAUAGACCAAUGAAUGAGCUUGUUUUGUGUAUGCUUUAUUUCUUAGGGAAUAGAUCUGUUUGCUUGCAAAAUGCGUAUUUGUAAACACCGCGGUGUUAGACGUCGAUUUUGAUACCCGCGUUAAUAGCCGCCGUUACCUUA